GAGGAAUAUAGCCAUAGGAUGACAAUUAUUGAUGGAGCAUAAAAACCGGAGCUAAAGACCAUAUAAAGAAGAAAACAGAACUGAUGGGGGAAGAGAUGAAAAGAUGAAAAAUUGACUAGAGAAGAAAAUUGGAAUGAGCUAAUUUACAAAAGAAAAUGAACAAACCACAGCCAGAUAUAUCCAGCUGGAUGAAAAGACUGACUAGUUUAAAUGGGAUUUACGCUAAAACACUGUGUGCAGCUACAAGUUUGUGCUAUGUGGGAAUACAAAAAAGCAGAGAUGGAACCAUUACACCAGAGACACUUACCUCUUCUGCCGUCGAUCCGUGCGGACUAUAGUAGUAGCCACCGUCGUUCUCCACCACGACUUCCCCGUACUCGUCAUACAUCCCCGAAGGAGACAGCAGGCGGCGGCGGCUCCCAUACUGCGGCAGCUCGUACCUGCCAAAAACACCAUCGUCUCUUCAGAACGUGCACCCACAUGUUUGCCUGUCUCUGCAUACAGCAACAAAUGCACACUCUCGCUUCCCACAAGGAAAAGGAUUUCUUUGCUCUCUGUUCUCUCUACCUUUAAAAAGAUGGUGAUUCUUUUUUUCCUUAGCAUAACACAAUCUGAAAGCUCUUCCUAUUGCAAUUGGCCACAAGCCCCUUACAACUGCGAGCUCUCUGGGAUCAGUUAAGAAUCCAUCAAGUGCAAUGACCUUCUUUCCAGGGCCUGCGGUGAGACAAGGAUGCUGACACAAGGGAAGAGACCCUGGGAGGCUGCACCAAGAGGACUGACAUGACGAUACGGCCCCUCUCAGGUGUGCACAAUUAAACACCGCUCAUUUUUGGCAGUCAUGUUGUUAAUUACUCUGCAUCUCCAGUUUUCUGCAAAGGACAGACUGAUACACCUCACUUGCUGUUUUGUAAAUUAGGAUCAGGUUUUCUCAGGAAAAUCAGUUACCAUUGUUCCCACACUCCUCCCAAAACCUGGUGGCAAUACUUCAGCCAAGUUUCUUGGCCAAAACCAAAACAUGAGA